CCUACGGGUGGCAGCAGUAGGGAAUAUUGCACAAUGGGGGAAACCCUGAUGCAGCAACGCCGCGUGGAGGAUGAAGGUUUUCGGAUUGUAAAGUCCUUUUGUUAGAGAAGAUAAUGACGGUUUCUAACGAAUAAACACCGGCCAACCCCGUGCCAGCAGCCGCCGGAAUACGGUGGGUGCAAGCGUUUCUCGGAAUCACUGGGCGAAAAGAGCGCGUAGGCGGGAUAGCAAGGCAGCGGUAAAAUUGAGAGGCUCAACCUCUUCGAGCCUUUGAAACUGGUUGUCUUGAGUGAGCGAGAAGUAUGCGGAAUGCGUGGUGUAGCGGUGAAAUGCAUAGAGAUCACGCAGAACUCCGAUUGCGAAGGCAGCAUACCGGCGCUCAACUGACGCUCAUGCACGAAAGUGUGGGUAGCGAACAGGAUUAGAUACCCGAGUAGUC
rnacentral:rRNA from 1 species